GAAAUGCGAUACUUGGUGUGAAUUGCAGAAUCCCGUGAACCAUCGAGUCUUUGAACGCAAGUUGCGCCCGAAGCCUUCGGGCCGAGGGCACGUCUGCAUGGGCGUCACGCACAGCGUCGCCCCCACCCCACUCGUGGGGCGUGGGGCGGAUUCUGGCCCCCCGUGUGCUCCCGCGCGCGGUCGGCCUAAAAUCAGACCCCGUGGCCGCGAAAUGCCGCGACGAUUGGUGGUGUACGCGGCGGCCUCGAGCCUCCGAACAUCGCGUCGCGCCUUCCGUGGCCCUCUGGAGUCAAGAGGACCCUCGAGAGCCCUCCGCCGGUGCGGAGGGGCCUCUCAACCGUUGCGACCCCAUGUCAGGCGGGACUACCCGCUGAGUUUAA
rnacentral:rRNA from 1 species